ACAACGCUCAAUUUAAAAUUUAAUUAAUAAAAAAAAAACCCCAACCAAAAUCGUAUCCAAAUAGGCCCGAUCGUUUUGAAAGGCAUUAACUUACCUAUAAAUUUAACAAAUCUCUGACAAGAAUAUCUUGCUUCCACUUGGUUGAUCACCACAAAUUUCAGGACCAGGUAGCAAAUCGUUAGAUAGCCUCUGAUUUAUAGCAGGAUCCUUAUAAUUUGUAUCAGUAGUGCAGCAAACAUAUGGAACCUCUCCAAAACCAUCAGUGCAAACAGAAUCACUUAAAAACUGUCUCUCCUCAGGUGUUGGUGAUGCUUUUUCUCCUAAAGCCUUUAAAACAGGACAUUCUGCUAUUGUUAUGCAAUAGCCUUUCCGUUGAUUAGGAUUUAAGCAAUCUUCUGUAAUAUAUUGACACAAUAUUUUUAAAAUGUACUUCUAUUUGAUAAUUAUUA